rnacentral:rRNA from 1 species
UACGGAGGGGGCGAGCGUUGUCCGAAGUUACUGGGCGUAAAGCGCGCGUAGGCGGGUUGGUAAGUCCGGCUGUGAAAGCCCGGAGCUCAACUCCGGAGGGUCGGUGGAUACUGGCCAGUCUUGAAGGUGCUAGGGGGAGAUGGAAUUACCGGUGUAGCGGUGAAAUGCGUAGAGAAUCGGUAGGAACACCAGUGGCGAAGGCGGUCUCCUGGGGCAUUCUUGACGCUGGAUGCGCGAAAGCUGGGGGAGCGAACGGG